AUUGAACGCUGGCGGCAUGCCUUACACAUGAAAGUCGAACGGCAGCACGGGUGCUUGCACCUGGUGGCGAGUGGCGAACGGGUGAGUAAUACAUCGGAACGUACCUUAUCGUGGGGGAUAACGCAGCGAAAGCUGUGCUAAUACCGCAUACGCCCUGAGGGGGAAAGCGGGGGAUCGAAAGACCUCGCGCGAUUAGAGCGGCCGAUGCCUGAUUAGCUUGUUGGUGGGGUAAAAGCGCACCAAGGCGACGAUCAGUAGCUGGUCUGAGAGGACGAUCAGCCACACGGGGACUGAGACACGGCCCAGACUCCUGCGGGAGGCAGCAGUGGGGAAUUGUGGACAAUGGGGGCAACCCUGAUCCAGCGAUGCCGCGUGAGUGAAGAAGGCCUUCGGGUUGUAAAGCUCUUUUGUCAGGGAAGAAACACCGGCUCUAACACAGUCCGGGAAUGACGGUACCUGAAGAAUAAGCACCGGCUAACUACGUGCCAGCAGCCGCAGUAA
rnacentral:rRNA from 1 species